rnacentral:rRNA from 1 species
UACAGAGGUCUCAAGCGUUGUUCGGAUUCAUUGGGCGUAAAGGGUGUGUAGGUGGCGGCGUAAGUCGGGUGUGAAAUUUCGGAGCUUAACUCCGAAACUGCAUUCGAUACUGCGGUGCUUGAGGACUGGAGAGGAGACUGGAAUUCAUGGUGUAGCAGUGAAAUGCGUAGAGAUCAGGAGGAACACCGGUGGCGAAGGCGGGUCUCUGGGCCGAUACUGACGCUGAGGAGCGAAAGCGUGGGGAGCAAACAGG